GAGAGCGAGCCGGGAGGUUGCACUAAAAGAAUUAUUUCUAAUUUUUUUACUUGAAGAAAAAUAAUGGCACUCUUCCCAACGAUAAUCGUAACCUUGCUUUUUCCAACGUAUGUGCUCACUUCGGAAGAAUUAAUUUGCUACUCUUGCGGGACCGAACACACGCCUAACGAAAUGGACACCUGCAAGUAUUUCGAGGGGUCUCCGCGUUGGCGACCCUAUGAAGUGAUUUGUCCACACGACACUGUUUGUUCAAAAAUCGUCCCCGCUUAUGGAGGGAAUAUAUCACGGUCAUGCACAAUGAAGAAAAAUAGUUUUGGCAUAGAAAUGAAAAUUGGAUGCUAUCAGGACGGCUCAGGCGAGGAAGGUCAAAUAGUUUGUUACUGCGACAAAUCGCGAUGCAACUCAGCCGAAAUUUUAUUCAGCACCUGGGCCGUUUUCCUCAUCGGAGCGUUAACUUACUUUUUUUGUCAGAGAUAAAAAAAAAAUAGGUCUUACCUGAGCGAUGCAGGCUUGUACUAAAUUGGGCGGGAACAUGUUUCUGUAAUUAAAAAAAAAAAAAUAAUAUUUGUAAAAAAAACAUUAUUUAAA